AGUGAAACCUUAAAGAUGUAAAUAUUUUAACGUGUUUAAAGCUACAGCGUUUUGAAUAUGGAAUCUCCCACGCCUGCAUUACAGUCGAGGGGCAAAGGAAAGAAUCCUAAAGUUCCUGUCAGCUACCUGAGACCAGACAGAAGCCACUAUGGCAUGAGAACAGACCACUUUUUCAGCUCAAUCAGAGCAAGACUGAGGAUGGCCGGCCAGACUCUGGUGCAAGACGGAGUAAUGGAGGACUGACGAAUGUCAAUGCUGUAUUAUCCUCAAUCAAUUCAACUACCUCCAAGAAACAAUCAGGCUCAACACUUCAAUCUUCGCACAAGAAGGAUAGAGAAGCGAUCAGAAGCUCAUUGGUCAGUAUUCGUUCAGAAGGUGGAAUAUUACGCCAAAUUGAUAGAUGACAUAACAUACAACUCUCAAAAGAUAAUUCAAGUCGGCAUGUUUGAGUUGCAUUGCAAUGAAUUGAUUCGCGGUCUCAGCAAACGAGCUGAUGGCUUAAGAAGUAAAUUACUACAGAGUGAUUAAAGAUCAUCAGUUGAUGAACAAAAGGAUUCUUGUUAUGAAAGAAAAUUGGAAGAAAAUGAAUCUAAACUUGAUACAGCGAUCCGUCUUUGUGUAACUGUUGUUGCUUGCUCACCUGAAUCAGUUCGUGCGACACAGAUGUUGGGUUGCCAUUUUAUCUGGAGUAUGUACGAAAUAAUGCCAAUAAUGACAAGAAGAAAUGCUCCAGAGAUGAACCAGCUGCUUUACAAUCUCUUCAUCGCUGUGUUCAAUGCUCUUGAAGAGUUGCACCUCUUUAAGAAGGCCUUUCUUAAACAUCAAGGAACUUAGUUCUGUAGCAAAGCGAAGAACGCGUGAAGUUUCAACGGGAUCUGUUACUUCUUUUACUACAAGCCAAAAAAAUAUUAGAUUAUCCAGAAUGUAUCCUGAUGAAGACAGAGACUCGGAGUCGAUUGGUUCGUAUGUGGUUUUUGUUGCAGACAUACUGCAUUGUUAGGGAAAGCAACGCUGUUUUUUUUGAAUUUUUUUCAAAAGCUUUCAUUUUUCAGAUGAGCAAUUUAAACCAUUUUUGAACAAGUUCAGCACACAAGACGAAGGAAAACAAGUCUUUGAUUCGCUCUAUGAGCUUAGGACUCCACGAAAUGCAAUUUUAAAAUUUCAGGGCAAACUGUUAACCUGGCACUGGAUAAUGAAAGCAUACAGUCAUUGUGCAACAUCGCUCACACACUUCUGAAGCUCUCCUUAACCGAUACCGUGUCAUCAGAGCUAACAGAACUGCAAAAAACUUUUUCUGGCCAUAUCCAUUGUUGCUACACAGAAGCCAACAUUGGAACGUCACAGUUGUGCUUCUCAAAGGUUUAUAUUUAACCAUAUCGAAGCAAACGGCUGUAACAGCUCGGCCUUUCACCAAGGUGGAGAGAUCAAUAAGCAAGACAACUUCGGGCGAACCUCUCUACACCUGGCUGUGUCUGACGAAAUGGCCGACUUUUUGUUGCAAAACCACGCAGAUAUUGAUGCAAGGACAGUAGUUGGCUGCAGAAUGGACGAGAGACAAAACAGCAAAAGCAUUGAUAGACGAAGGCGCUUCGCCUUGUCUCCUUGAUUCAUCCGGGGAUUCGGCAUUGUCAGUUUUGAUUGAACGACUUCCACAGGUGGCUUUAGAAGUUCUCGACAAACUCCACACGACUGAUAUUAUAACAAGGAAGGAAUUUAAUUUCAUAAAUUUUCUUGAGUUAUCGCGAAUGAGCGCAAAGACGAAGAAAGCUCGCACUCCACUUGAAGCUGCCGUUCUCACGAGGAAGUUCAACAUUGUAUCCUAUCCCGUCAUGCAACGACUCAUCAACCAAAAGUGGAGUAAUUUCGGUCGCAUGACAACGAUCAUAGACCUUUGCUUUUUUAUCAUUCUUCCCUGUUUUUUGUCAAACCUCCAUCAACUGGUCAGAAUGAAAAUAGGAUUCCAUCUGAAGCUUUGAAUAGUUUGACAAAAAGAUUGCCAUCUAACGAAGAAGAGCAAAUGAAAACAUCCAAGCAAUAUUGGUAGACAGCGAAGACAAGAGGAUACAUAACGAAAGGAAAGCGAUAAUGAAAAGGACGAAAAAAAUGGUCAAAUCAGAAAUAAAAGAAAAUCCAAACAAAGUGAUCCAGAAAUGAGUUUUACUUAAGUUUUGAGCCUUCUUUACUGAGCUCAUCAAAUAAUUUUACAAAUGAGGAUACAAUCCCUAUAUAUAGCUGACAUUUCUCUUUAGGAAAGAAGAACUUUAAAACAAAUUUCUGACAACACUUUCCUUUGUAACAAAAGAGCUAUAAAUUUUGUAAUUGCCAUGUUUAAGACAUUUUUCUUUUCUGUGUUUAAAGAAAAUAUCGUACAAAAACGUGGGCAUAUUAUACCUUUUGCUGUCGGUGGUGAGGAUGUUGCUCAAUACUCAUAGGUUAUCAUUAUGGGCAUACAACAAAGUUAAAGUUUGUAUUUUGAAAUUUUUCCCGGUCAUUCACAUAUGAGUUGGAAAAUUAAAACGCCACUAUUACGAUGACAUGUUAAAAGUAAACUUUGAGUCAUUGCACCAAAAUAUCUUUGGCAUAGUUUUAAUUAGAAAAUAUGUAAAACAGCCCGUGACGAGAAAUAAAGUCCAUGUCUAUACGCGACUA